rnacentral:lncRNA from 1 species
AUUAUUGAGUAUGACUUCAAACCCCGACUAGCAAUCGUAGAUCUAAAAAGAUUCUGUCGAACUCUGAACUUGCCGAUGAUCUCUGACCUUUGUCAAUGACUUAAGGGAUCAUAUAUUCCUCCAUUCUAGAUAUCAUAUGGACCGAGACAUGGAUUAUAAAUCGUUCUCUCUGUCCAUUUUUUGUUUCCCGAUUUCUGAUUUAUGACGACUGACUGAUUGAACAAAUCAAAUCAGACCUGGCUUGGCCAAGCACUCAUAUGUGUCAUCACUAAAUCAUCGAGGGGCCCACAUAUAUCACUUUUAUCCUGAAGGUAAAAGGAAUGGAUAAACUUCGACUCAUAUGGCUUGUUCUACUACUUGUUGAAUCAUACACAAAGUCACAUUUUAUAACAUCGAGUUUCAGAAUGUGUUUUUGUGCAAUCAAUGUACAACCAACUCAUAGUAACAACUCAUAUCUCUAGGUUUGAAGAAUAUAAAAUACUAUAAAAUACUAUCGUCUCAUGAUCACUCGUGAUAAAAUCCAUGAAGUGAUUCAAAUGAGUGCAGGUUGAAUCCAGUACUCAGAACUUAUAAGCACUCAUGAGUGUUGUAGCACAACUUUGUCCACCAACUUGGACCUCUACAAACCAACCCAUAACAGUCUUGAUUCAUAUCUACUUCUAACAUAUAACUGACUGUGGAUGGUUUGAAUAACUUAGUCAUUCCGGAAGAAUAACCUAGUUCCAAGCAUGUACACUAUGUUUUUUCUAAACAAUAGCUUUGCCAUACCCCAAGUAUGCACUCUAUGUUUAUCUAUGAUCCUUACUUUGUGAACUAGAUCGAUUGAACAUAAUUUCAAUGAUUCUUUUUUCACACUUCCAAAUCCUUGUCGUAAAUGUAAGAAUUCCUAACAUUUAUCGAAAUUUGUUUAGAUUUUAAACUUAUAUGCACUGUUCCUCUUGUAAUGAUUAUGCAAAAAGCCACAAAGACUUGGCAACAAUCAUUAUAGAGUAUUCCAAUGGAGAGCAAUCCCAUGGAAACGAUGUCUCAAAUUCAAAGCGCAUUUCUUUGAACAUGCUUCUUGCAUUAAGUUUCUUUAACCUUACACAAAUUGCUUCCACCCAUGAACACAACUCUAUAUUCCUAUUUUGACUACCACUUCUGAACAAGAGUUGCCACUUUUCAGACUAGGUCAAUAUGAUCCUUCCAAAGUUAACACCAGGGCCGGCCUUACCUUGUGUCAAAUUAAGUAAGGGCUUAGGGCCCAAUUCUAGAUUACUAAUUCAAAAAAUCUACGCCACAAUCAACAAUUCCACAACAAAGAGACGAUUCGAUUUUGAAAAAACAACGCCUUCUGUUCUUCUUUCUUCUUUUAUUCUUCCUUCUCUAGAUUGUUCAAAUCAGUUGUGGCGUCUCAAUCAACUGUAAGUGUUUUCCACUUUUCUAGUUUUUGAGUUUUCCAUUAUAUUCUAGUCUUAGUGGUUGUUAUUGUAGAUGAUGCCUUUUGAUUUUAAUAUUUCAUGUAUUUUGUAGAUUAGUUAGUGUGACUCCAUGGCAUCUGUUAAUUGCCUUUAAAAAUUCUUUCGAUACUCAAUAGCCUCUCUUUUUAAGAUAUGUAAGAAGAUGGUAGGAAUAUUGACAAAAAAAGUUGUAGUUAGUAUUUACACCAGCAGGCAAGCACUGAUAUGUCUACACUAGGCUAGAAAUUUGCAAUGAUGAUUCUGUUGGAAGACCAUAUAAUGAAAAAAAGGAUAUAAAGUUUGUUUGAAUUAAACUAUAAUAGUACUCCAUUUAGGGAGAUUGUAAAGCCAAGAUGUAAAAAAUUAAUGUUUAUCUCCUGUAAUAAAACUUAACAUUACAAACUUAAAACAUAUAUUGUUACUAUAGUUUAAUCCCAAAAGUCUGUUGCUGAAACAGUUCUUAUAUAUAGUUUAGUUAUAAAAAAUUUAAUUUCCUCUAAGAGAGGAUUGGUUCUAAUCAAUAUAUAUCCACAGAUUAAUGCUACUGAAACAGUUCUUAUAUAUAGUUUAGUUAUCAAAAAUUUAAUUUCCUCUAAGAGAGGACUGGUUCUAAUCAAUAUAUAUCCACAAGUUAAUACUACUGAAAUAGUUCUCAUAUAAUAGUGUGUGAGUUUGGAAUAUGAAGAUUGUGAACCUGGUGUAACAUGGUGAAAGGGAGUCGAAAUGCCAUAAAAAUGUCCAGUUAUUUAAAAAGAUGCCAAUAAAUGAUAUUUGAAAUAUAUAACUAGUAAUUGNUAUUUAGAUCAUAAUGUCCUCAAAGUAGAUGAAAACACGUAUCUAAAUUUUAUUAUAUUCAAAAUGAACUAGCUAUUUUGUGUUGAUCUAGUGCCUAAUUUUGUACAUUUAAAGUCUAUAAAUAAUCAACAAAAGAAUGGCUACUCUUUGGUGUAUGAGAAAUACGUUAAAUCAAAAUCAAUGGUUGAUGAUAAAUCACAUCUUUUUAGAAGUAUUAAUGAUUUGGUUAUGUUAAAUCAUAUAUUGGCGUUUAUUUUGGUUGAUCUUUCUAAAGAUUAUGUUUGUUGGUAUCAAGCCAGGAUAAACGAGAGUUUAUAACAUUAAGUUUAGUAAAAGCCGAAGGGCCUCAAAUCUUUGGUUUGCUUAGAGCCCCCAAACUGGUUGAGCCACCCCUGGUUAACACUAUACUUCCAACUGUCCUUGAGCAACCAAUCACUUUAGUCAAAUCCAAUUCUAGACCUUUUCCACUCUUAAUGCCCCAGGCAUUUGGAAAAGUUUAGAAAUGAUGAAUAUUAUAGCACAUGCAAUCGAUCCUGUACCCUAAGCAAACGGAACAUGAUUCAUGAUGUCUCACAUAUAGACAUGAUUCUAGACCAGUCUUUCGCUACAAUAUUAUUUAUUUGCUAUGUUCAUAAGAUUUGACUAUGAAGAGGGAUUCCGUAAUCAUAAUCGAAUUUUGAUAAUGCAAUAUAAAUAGAAUUUCCUCUUGUUGAACCAAUCCAACAUGAAAUUCAUAUAUAUAUAUAUAUAAAUAUAUAUAUAUAUAUAUAUAUUCUUGACUAAAGAUGAUUAAAAUCUCAAUCUAAGCUUAAAAUCUCACUCUAAGCCUUUUAGAAUUGACAUGCAGUAUAAUUUCCUCUCCCUUUAUUAUAGCAAAACACCUUUUUUUAACGAAUUGAAGUUUUUUUUUUCUAUAAUUAACAUUGCUAACUUGCAAUAAUUAUCAUAAUUAUCAUGCUCCCACUAACAUGAUGAUUAUUAGCAUAACACUUAUGCUCCCACUAGCUUUGACAUGUAUCCAGAAAACAAUUGGACCUCUAGAAGUUAAUACUUUAUUGACAAUCUUACCAAAGUUCAGAUUUCUGAUACUAGAUUGCUUUGAUAAGAUUUUAUCAAAGUCAUACACCUUAUCUUAGAUAGCUCACAGGUGUGUCUAAACAAUUUUAGAACUAUGAAAAGGGAUGUCGUAAUCAUAGUCUCAAUUGUUUAGACCUUUGCUCUUUCUCAUAAGUCUAUGUUAGUGUGCUCUACUAACGACUUUGAGAAAGCAAAGAUUGGUAUCUACUUAAAAUCUACUUGGUUGAAGUGUUUCCUCACCAUCAUUUUCAUGAAUUGGAGAGAAACCUUAUGACACUUAGAUUUUAUGGUGUAUGUGUUCCUAUCCAUAUGAAUUUGUCAAAACCAUAAUCACAAGACAAGGUUAUUGACAAAUCCAAACUCUUAUGGAUUGAACUUGUGCAGUCUUAGCUUCUUGCCACCUGGCAGCUCAAGGGCCUACCAUUGCUUCCAAGUUGGUAUGCAACCAAUUGAGAACUCUAAGAACUCAUAUGCAAAGCCAACUUUAACUCAAAUGGGCACAGAAAUUGAAAUAUGUCAACAUGAUAGGUUAUAAACCUCACGUCGUGUGCUAUUGUUAAACUACAAGUUUUUUAUUCUUGAUUAGAUCUUGAAAUUCUUUUCAGGAUCUUUAAGACUCCCACUGUUCUCUUGACAUACAAGAAUAUCUUGCCAAAUAUUCAAGAGAUAGUGCAGAUUCUUUAUCAAGACAAACACUUCACACAAUUGGCCUAAGUUGGUCUUUGUUUUAUCCAAAACAUCACAACUUACCAAAUUCAAAUGUACAGGAGUAGGACACUUUUACUCUUACAUUUGCCAAUUGUUAUAAACCUUUUUUAAGAUAUGUCACUCAACUUACAGUCUUGGAGUAUGACUCAGAGAAUUGUUUUGGAACGAAGUAUGACUCGUCUUCUUGAUUUAUCCAUUCCAACAAUUCAAGAUUCCUCUUCUUAGUCAUAAGAAUGAACUAAUAUUUCCUUAAAGGACUAAUUGUGAUAUGAUUUCCAAAUCAUUAACAUGAUCACAAAACUUGAUACUAAAGUACUCUCCAAUGUUUUUAGAUUUGAGAAACUUUUAUCGUUCUGCCUAAUUUGAUUCUUCUCAUUCGUUCUGCCCUACACUGAAAAUUUUCCAAUGCUUCAGAAUUACACUUAAACUUGUAAGCGUAACCAUAUUUACUAGACUUUAGUAAAUCAUGACGAAUAGUAUUAUAGAUCUUUUGUGGUGGACUUGACCAGUGCACAAGAAUGUGUACUCGUUCCUUGAGUCCUUUCGCUUGACUCACACAUCCAUGUGAACAAGUAGUUAGUCUUACUUUUCCAAUGCUCGAAAGUUCUCAUUCAUCAUACUACACAACUUGCAUGAUUCCAAGUUUCGGUCCAAUUGAAACUUGGGUGAUGAGAAUCUUUCCUUGUUUGGUAAAUUUAGACAUUAAUACAAAUGAAAGAAUCAAAUUCAUAUUUCCAAUAUUGCUAUCAAUGGAAUCAUAUAAACAAAAUAUUUUUUCCUCAAAUGCCAUUGUAAGGAUAUUUUAAAAUAAAUAAAAUUAAAAACUUUUCUUUUAUUUUAAAACUUUGCGGAAAAACUAAUCCUUACAAUGAAAAUGUAUAUGAAAACUUGUUGUCAUCUAUUCUUUAGCAAUCUAUCAUAACUCUUAAGCACCUGCUUAAAAUUCUGAUCACCGAACCAUGCGAUCGAAAUCCAUCUUCGCGAUUAGAAUUAGCAUAUACUUCCUUCUCCACUUUUUCUUUGAUUCUUAAACAUCAAUAUGUGACCCAUUCACAUCAUGUAAUAAGAAUCUCAGAGUAGAAACUUAACAGAGUUAGAUAGUGGACUUUAACUAAAGUAGAGUCAAACUAAUUGACUUUAACAUCCUUAGGUAAAUUUAUUAGGUUCGCAAUGAAUUCCCCUCCCUUUGGCAAUUUAACAUACGGACUCUUUGAUUAUCGUACAUGAGACUAUCACAAACUUACCAUUUCUCUUUACCAUUUGGUCAACUUAAUUGACUUUGGCUGAUCCCUUUCCAUUAGGAAGAGCAUGCUUUUUUCUGGAUUUCCAGUGUCAUCAUUGUCAAUGUCCAUAAAGUUUUUUGGAAGUUAAUCUUAGCAAAUAGAUAAGAUCAUUAAGGGUCUUGUCAUAGUCUGUUUCAUAUGAGUCCUAAAGGAACUCACUAUGUGACUUAGAAAGUGAUUGAACCACCAACUUUCUCAAGACUUUGACACCUAACUCUCCUGGCUUGUCACUAUGUGACUUCAUCUACAAGAUGUGAGCACACCUAGACCUUGCCUUGCCAAUAGGGCUUGAGUGACCUUGAACUUGUGGGAUAGGGAGAAUAAUAGGAGGAGGUGGAGGAAGUGAAGUUCCAAGAGAUUUGGGAGAAUCAUAGAUGUCUGAACUAGACAUCUUUUGGGAGAUAUUCAGGAUAGUUGAUCUAAAGUCCUUAAUAUAACACCCAAUAUGAAAUUUUAAGGCUAGGAACCAACAAACUAUUUUAUAACUUGGAAGAGGGGUGCCGUAAUCCAAGCUAUAAAAUAUUUUGAAGAUAGGUGAAUGGCGAUUCACCAAUUUCCACCAGGAUAAACGAAAUGUAUUAUUAGGUUAUAAUUGAUUUUUGAAACUCCUAGAUUCUUUUGAGAUUCAUUGAACUCUUCAAUGGCAUGUUUCAAUCUCGAGUGUGCCCUUCAGGUUUUGUGACUAAGAUACCGAGGAUCAUAAAACAAGGUGUGAAAAACCAUGCAAAUAUACUCGGUACCCUUAAUUUUUUUACCCCUCAAUCGAUGUGUCGGUUAACCACACAUGCUCCACCGAUACUAUUAUAAACAUUAAGUUACCCUUUUCCUACCUUUUUAAAUACGAGUUAGUGUGCCGGUUAACCACACAUGCUCCACUAACCGAUUUAGACAAAGUGCAAAGUGUAAUUUCAUGGAUUAGCACCAAAUUCACAUUUCCCUAAGUAACUAAGAUUGGGUAUUACUAAGAGUUUAGUUACUUAGUNNNNNNNNNNNNNNNNNNNNNNNNNNNNNNNNNNNNNNNNNNNNNNNNNNNNNNNNNNNNNNNNNNNNNNNNNNNNNNNNNNNNNNNNNNNNNNNNNNNNNNNNNNNNNNNNNNNNNNNNNNNNNNNNNNNNNNNNNNNNNNNNNNNNNNNNNNNNNNNNNNNNNNNNNNNNNNNNNNNNNNNNNNNNNNNNNNNNNNNNNNNNNNNNNNNNNNNNNNNNNNNNNNNNNNNNNNNNNNNNNNNNNNNNNNNNNNNNNNNNNNNNNNNNNNNNNNNNNNNNNNNNNNNNNNNNNNNNNNNNNNNNNNNNNNNNNNNNNNNNNNNNNNNNNNNNNNNNNNNNNNNNNNNNNNNNNNNNNNNNNNNNNNNNNNNNNNNNNNNNNNNNNNNNNNNNNNNNNNNNNNNNNNNNNNNNNNNNNNNNNNNNNNNNNNNNNNNNNNNNNNNNNNNNNNNNNNNNNNNNNNNNNNNNNNNNNNNNNNNNNNNNNNNNNNNNNNNNNNNNNNNNNNNNNNNNNNNNNNNNNNNNNNNNNNNNNNNNNNNNNNNNNNNNNNNNNNNNNNNNNNNNNNNNNNNNNNNNNNNNNNNNNNNNNNNNNNNNNNNNNNNNNNNNNNNNNNNNNNNNNNNNNNNNNNNNNNNNNNNNNNNNNNNNNNNNNNNNNNNNNNNNNNNNNNNNNNNNNNNNNNNNNNNNNNNNNNNNNNNNNNNNNNNNNNNNNNNNNNNNNNNNNNNNNNNNNNNNNNNNNNNNNNNNNNNNNNNNNNNNNNNNNNNNNNNNNNNNNNNNNNNNNNNNNNNNNNNNNNNNNNNNNNNNNNNNNNNNNNNNNNNNNNNNNNNNNNNNNNNNNNNNNNNNNNNNNNNNNNNNNNNNNNNNNNNNNNNNNNNNNNNNNNNNNNNNNNNNNNNNNNNNNNNNNNNNNNNNNNNNNNNNNNNNNNNNNNNNNNNNNNNNNNNNNNNNNNNNNNNNNNNNNNNNNNNNNNNNNNNNNNNNNNNNNNNNNNNNNNNNNNNNNNNNNNNNNNNNNNNNNNNNNNNNNNNNNNNNNNNNNNNNNNNNNNNNNNNNNNNNNNNNNNNNNNNNNNNNNNNNNNNNNNNNNNNNNNNNNNNNNNNNNNNNNNNNNNNNNNNNNNNNNNNNNNNNNNNNNNNNNNNNNNNNNNNNNNNNNNNNNNNNNNNNNNNNNNNNNNNNNNNNNNNNNNNNNNNNNNNNNNNNNNNNNNNNNNNNNNNNNNNNNNNNNNNNNNNNNNNNNNNNNNNNNNNNNNNNNNNNNNNNNNNNNNNNNNNNNNNNNNNNNNNNNNNNNNNNNNNNNNNNNNNNNNNNNNNNNNNNNNNNNNNNNNNNNNNNNNNNNNNNNNNNNNNNNNNNNNNNNNNNNNNNNNNNNNNACCUCAGGGUUCGGAUGAGGGACUUCAAAAAUAUUUGAGAAGGCGUGGAAGAUAAACGCCUUUCGAGUCAACGGCAUGUCGAACUGCGAAUCGACAGAAUUAUAGCAGUCGAAUGAGAUAACCGGCUCGAGCCAUAGGAUGCUAGGAGUAUCUAUGGCCUCCUUAAUCAUUCGCUCCCGAGUCCAGGCAGGGAAGAGAGUCUUCCUGCUCACGAGGAGAUCGUGGGCUUCCUUCUGCUUGCGUUCGGCUUCUUCAGCCUCUCCCGCCACACGAUUAACAUCAUCAACAGCAUUGCGACUGUUCUUUCGUUUCAACAAGUCAGCAAUGGUUUCAUCAUCUUCAUCAUCAUCUUCUUCCUCAGCUAUGUUUUUCCCUUUAUCCUUCACACCCGAACCCGAAGCUUGACCAGUCGGAGGUGGUUCGGUUGUGUGAGUAGCUUUGGAGGAAGGAGGUGGUUUCGAUCCGGACUUCAACUCUUCUCCCCCUUGUUUCGGAGUGGACACGAAACUGGGUAAACCUUCGAUUUUGCUGAGAAGGUCCAUAGCAGGAGAAAGUUUUUCAGCAAGGGUACGCCUCACCGAAUGGUUUAGAAUCAGAUCGUGUGCUUCUAGGAUGUUGGAUAAGGCAACGUGUACAUCCGAAACACAUGACUUGAUGACCUCCCUUUUGGAUCAAAGAGCUUCAAGUUGUUGCUAUGAGUUUGAAAGUUGCGUGCUCUUGACCUUGAGGGCGGUGGUUUUGCUUGCCAGAACGUCCAUCAAUGAAUUUUCAGCUGCGAGAUCCUCCUGAAGCUUAGCGAGGCGCUCAUCGAUGGAGGCACGAAGGGCCGAGUUGUCGUCGCUUAUUGAUUGGCGAAGGUUGGCGAACGAGGUCAACUCCGUUGAGACGAACUUUGCCAAUUGCUGAACAAUCGGUUCCAAAGUUGUCUUGGUAGAAUCCGCACUCUCCUGUAAUGACUUCAACAGAGAAGAGGCGUCUGAGAAUAGUUUAUCGACUUUUGCGGUCGCAGCCUCACAGGCUUUGGUAGAGGCGUCUAUGGCGGCAGUGGCUGAGGCUACCGAAUCAUGCUGAGCCGUGGAGAAGGCAUCAACAAUCUUCUGAAGUGCAGCUUCAGAUAGAGAGGACUGUUGGUUGGAAGAUGAGGCAAGAAGUAGAUCAACCUUCUCGUUUAGCUCCUUCAGAUGUUUCUUUGUCACUGGAGCAUCAUCCUCUUCAUCACUUUGAACCUGAAACGGACUAAAGUAGAUCGAAUCAAAGGUCAUGUUUUCUCUGCCAAGAAACGGGUUAUCUCCAUCAGAGGCAUGAUCUGGAGAUGGUGGGGGUGGUGAAGUUGGGGGUGUGUUUGUAUGGGUAGGUUCAGGUGGUGGUGGAGUAUGGGUAGGUUCGGUUGUAUGUUUCGGAUGGGUAGGUUCAGGUGGUGGUGGAGUGUGGGGUGGAGUAGUUUCGGGUGGUGGUGGAGUAUGGGUAGGUUCGGUUGUAUGUUGGGUUUCGGUUUGAGGUGGUUCGGUUACGGGUGGUGUUUCGGUUGUAGUGGUAUGAACCCCCGUAUCAGAUACGUUGGUUGUAACCUUUGUAGUGGUUGUGGUGGUAUCUGUGAAAAUGGGUGGUGGUAUAGGGAAAAAGGUUGGAGGAAUAGUGGUAGUGGGGAUUAUGGUCGGAAUGGAAGUAGGGAUGGUUUGAGGAGGUGAAGGAACUGGUGAAUUAUGAAGUUCCAUCUCUGGGGUAGGUGAGCGGGGUGGUGUGUUGCCUCUUUGAGGGGUUUCGCCUCCUUGAGAGCCAUCCGAACCCGAACUCUCGUUUUCUGAGUCACUCGAAGAGGAAGGAAUAAGAAGUUUUCGCUUCGGUUGAGUCUUCCUUCUCUUCGGCUGCGGUGAUUGGGCAUGUUUCGUUUGUUUCCUCUUCCUGGGAGAAGGACCUUUAGCAGCUUUGGUCACUUGCUUCCCUUUGUCCGCCUUUUUGCCCCUGUUCACCGGUUUGGCAGCAUCAUGGAUGGACUUCAGCAUUUCCGGUGUAAGGUCCCUAGGUCCAGUUGCCCUGAACUCCUCGAUCGUUCGGAUUAGCCUGCUGUCAGAGGGAACGUCGCCAUACAUUGUGUCCAGAAUAGAGCCAAUGAACGAGAAUUUAGAUGCAUCAGAGACGAUGAUCUUCUUGGUAUGAAACGUACCGAUUGAAGACAUCGAUGCACCAGCAGCAGUGGGAAUAUCAAACCUGUCCAUUGCCCACUUUGUGAUUAGAGUCCAGAACCGGGCAUACGACACCUCAGAAUGUCGUGAUGAAGAAGAAAGGCUCUGGAUGAGCUGUUGCCAGAGAACCAACCCAAAAUCUAAGUUGACCCCGUUGUAAACUGCAUACAUGAUCGACAAGAACAGUCGACUAGCACCGUCAGAUCCUGAGCUCCGUUCGGACAAGCCCUUGAAGAGGACUGUGAACAUGCCGUUCCACUGCGGCUGUAAGCAGGAUUUCUUAAACUUUGCGACGGAGAUGAGCACCUCCGUGUACCCCAUAUUGUAAAACAUACUGUAAAGAUGCCCAACUGGAAUCGUCUCCGGAUUAAUUCUCGAUGGGUCAGCAGCCAACCCUAGCAGUGUGCAGAAACGUUGUCGAGAAAUGGAGGUCUUGUGAUCAGCAACCUCGAAGAACACCCGCUCGACUGCUUUGUCGUAAUAGGCAGUCGCAUAAACCUGCGAGAGAGUCGCCAUGGGCACAGACUCAAUCCUGGAGAGAGCCGGAGCGAUUUGGGAGUACUUCAGGCACUCGAUGAUCGGCGACAUGUAGGAGUCGUACGCCAGAGGGUUGAGAUCGAUCACCAGGCAUUGUUGUGGACGAAUAGGAAGGAUUUGUGAGGUAGCAUGGACGGAAGAUGAUUCUGCCAUUGUUGAAGGUAGGAAGAAGAAGAUGAACAGUGAAGCUUUUUCGAGUUUUGGCUCUCUUGUAAAUUUUGAAGCAGUAAAGAGGUAAAUCGUGGUGAAGACUGCCUUUUAUAGUGGGUGAAAGGAGAGAGAAAAAUCGUUUCAAAUCUUCUAUGGAAAUACGAAAAGGUUUCCUGAAUGACAGAUGUGUGAUAGUUGAGGCGAGCGAUGAUCACGUAGGAGAGAGAGUGUCAGAUUCCUAGGAUCACGCCGCCCAACAAGCGCCGUUUGAGGAAAAAACCGUUUCAAAUCCUCACGCGCCUUUAAGUUCCAGAGAGAAAUCCCUUGAAAUUCGCACACGCGUCCACAAUGUCAGCAAAAGAUUGGGCGUUUCAAAUUCACACGCGCCCUUUUUUUUUUUUUUUUUUUNNNNNNNNNNNNNNNNNNNNNNNNNNNNNNNNNNNNNNNNNNNNNNNNNNNNNNNNNNNNNNNNNNNNNNNNNNNNNNNNNNNNNNNNNNNNNNNNNNNNNNNNNNNNNNNNNNNNNNNNNNNNNNNNNNNNNNNNNNNNNNNNNNNNNNNNNNNNNNNNNNNNNNNNNNNNNNNNNNNGAAAAUCAAAGAUUUUCGUGCAAAGAGUGUAAAAAGAAAAGAAAUAAAGCAACUCUUUUUAGGAUUGACUGUGAUGUCAAUAAUGACACGAAACUGAUGAUCCCGGGCACGAAUCUCUUCCUUCAAGGUCAAGAGAGACCUUAAAGUGUUAAUGUGGAUUCCCGUUGAAUUACGAUCAAUCACUUUUUAAGAAAUGUUGAAAGGCUUCUUUUAAUUAGGCUACUUUAGGGUGGCUUUCGCUUUGAUGCAUCAAUUCUAAUCUAGAAAUAAGAAAGAAAGUGAUCAAAGUACUUGUGACACCGGUGUAGUCUGUUGAACAAGUAGGAGGGAAUUAAUAUUAAAUUGGCUUGGAAAAUAUAAAAUCUCAAUAAAAAAUUUUAAAAUUAAAAACUGGAUCCCAAGGGAAGAAAUGUUAUGGUGGUUAACAAUUUCAUAGGAAUCACACAAAAUAAAAUAUGAGAUUUCAUGAAGGUGCAUCCGUCAAUUCUUUGCUGAAAACUUGAGCAAAUUAAUUGUUCACCGUCAAUUCAGAUUUGGUGUUGGAUUUUGGGUUUCACUCAGCUCGUAGUGACACGAAACUAAGAUCAUAAACACAGAUGUUGUGUAACCAUAAACCUCAGUGGUAAUUUCUGAGAGUCUCAAGGGUUACGUUGAUGAAACGAAUGUAAUGGAGAAAUGUAAUGGAGAUGGUGUAAGAAAAUAAAGUACCUCUGCUGCGAAAUAAAGGACCAAGCAGAAAACUCUUAUCUCAUGUGAGAAGAGAGUGAGGUAGCUCACGAUUAGAAUAAAUGUGGUAGCCUUAUUGGGAAGACAAGGUUUGUUUAUACCAGGUCAUGAAGGCUAUUAUUCAAAAUCUUAUGAGGCUUGGGACACAUAUAGCAGCAUGCUUCUAGGGACACUUAACUAAUUCAUCAAUUAUAUCCCCAUAAACGAACGAACACACAACAAGAAAAAGAAAAAUAUUUUUGGAGUUUUUGAGAAUUAUUAAAGAAAAGAAAAAAAAUAAAAAAAUAAGUAAGAAAAAAAUAAGACUUAAAAAAACUUUGAAAAAAAUAUGAAAAACCGAACCCGAACGUUCGGUUGGUUUCGGUUGGGAAAAAAUUGAAAAACCGAACCCGAGCGUUCGGUUGGUUUCGGUUGCAGAAAAUUUUGAAAAACCGAACCCGAGCGUUCGGUUGGUUUCGGUUCAAGAAAAUUUUGAAAAACCGAACCCGAACCUUCGGUAGGUUUCGGUUUUGGAAAAUUUUGAGAAACCGAACCCGAACCUUCGGUAGGUUUCGGUUUUGGAAAAUUUUAGAAAACCAAGGAAUUUAGACAUGCAAUCAGAAAAUACUUUUAACAAUAAGAUAAACAACUUUGUACAAGAAAUAUACAACCAAGAAAACUACCUUUGUGGUGAUGAGCGAGUCAGAUUAUUUAACCGAACCUGAACGUUCGGUCAAUUUCGCUUCUUACGUUUGAGGUUGAGAGGUAGUGUGAGGUACUGACUCUGAUUCCAUCAUACCUAGCCCUUGCAAUAUUCUGUUGAAUGAUGCUUCAGGAAGAGCUUUGGUAAAGACGUCAGCCAGUUGAUCAGUGGUUCUUACGAAGUGAACUUCGACGUUUCCAUCUUCCACAUGAUCUUUGAUGAAGUGAUACCUCAGUGCUAUGUGUUUGGUUUUAGAGUGUUGCACUGGGUUAUGACAGAUCCUAAUUGCACUUUCAGAGUCACAAUAUAGUGGGAUCUUCUUCAUAUUGAGUCCAUAGUCUCGAAGUUGACUCUGGAUCCAAAUCACUUGAGAGGUGCAGGAUGCAGCGGCUAUGUAUUCCGCUUCGGCAGUAGACAACGACACGCACGUUUGUUUCUUGGAUUGCCAGCUAACCAACUUCCCGUCAAGGAAUUGACAGCCACCAGUGGUGCUUUUUCUGUCGAGUCCACAUCCUCCAAGGUCAGCAUCUGAAUAGGCUUGAACGAAGAAGCCUGAGUUGGAAGGAUACCAUAGACCUAAGGAGGUGGUUCGCUUGAGAUAGCGUAAAAUGUUCUUCACUGCAAGCAUGUGAGGUUCGCGUGGGUUUGCCUGAAAUCGAGCACAAUAACACACAGAAAACAUGAUGUCAGGCCUGCUAGCAGUAAGAUACAUUAGUGAGCCUAUCAUUUGACGAUAGAGCGUGAUAUCAACAGCCGGUUUGUCUAGGGAUGGAGUUAGCUUGGUGCCGAAUGCCAUUGGGACUUUGACUUUGGAGUCUCCCAUCAUACCAAACUUUGCUAGGAGAGUCUUCGUGUAAGCUUCCUGAUUGAUAAAGAUGCCUUCGGGUCCCUGUCUAAUAUUUAAACCAAGGAAAAAGUUAAUAGGACCCAUUGAGCUCAUUUCAAAUUUAGUCUCCAUCAGCUUUCUGAAUUCAGCUGUUAGGCUGGGAUUCGUAGAGCCAAAGAUGAUGUCAUCGACAUAAAUUUGAACUAUCAUAAGGUGGUUACCUUCCUUUUUGCGAAAGAAGGUUGGGUCAACCGAACCUUGUUUGAAUUUAGACAUCUUUAAGAAUUUAGUUAGCGUUUCAUACCAGGCUCUCGGAGCUUGUUUGAGGCCAUACACAGCUUUAUCCAGAAUGUAGCAAUGAUUUGGAUACUUUUCGUUCACGAACCCAGGAGGUUGCUCCACAUACACGGUUUCUUCGAGUUCUCCAUUAAGAAAUGCACACUUGACGUCCAUUUGGAAAACUUCAAAGUUUUUGUGGGCAGCAUAAGCAAGAAAUAUUCUUACAGAUUCCAGCCUAGCUACAGGAGCGAAAGUCUCUUCAUAAUCAAUCCCUUCCUCCUGACAAUAUCCCUUUACUACCAGACGAGCUUUGUUCCUUAUAACAUUCCCUUCCUUGUCCAUUUUAUUCCUAAAGACCCAUUUGAGACCAACAACCGAGGCAUCUGGAGGAGUUGGAAUGAGGCGCCAGACUUUGUUCCUUUCAAAUUCGUUCAGUUCGUCUUGCAUCGCUUGAACCCAAUCGGAGUGAUCGAGAGCAGUGUUAACUGUCUUCGGUUCAACUUUUGAUACGAAUGAGUUAAACAUACAAAACUCAACCUUUGAAAAUAAGGAUGUCUGUUUUGCCUUCAGUUGUGAUCGGGUCAGAACCUUUUCGGAGACAUCACCAACCACUUGAGAGAUAGGAUGAUCUCUGGUCCAUUUGGUAAGAGGAGGAUAGUUUGGAUCAAAGGUUGGGUCUAGUUCAGCAUUGAUCAUUUCUUCUGGCUCGGAUUGGCUUUCGUAGUCAAGUGACAUAUCACCAUGCUCCCCCUCGAUUGAUGAGCUAUGAGAAACUUGAGGUUCAGAGGUUUCUUGUGGUGCUGGACUUUCAGGCGUUGAUGCACCUUCGGUUGGAGAAGCACUUUCGGUUGGAGUUGGACUUUCGGUAGCAGUUGUAGAGCUUGGCUCCCCCUCAACAUGUGAGCUUGGCUCCCCCUCGACUGAAGCAUCGUUGGAUGGAGGUUCAUCAGAAUUCGAUCCUCCUUCAUUCAUUCUCCUGGCAGCUUCUUCGACAAUUUGCUUCAUGUGGUCUACCUUGUUGUCUGCUGCGCCUGCUUCUGAGAGAGUAGCUUUCUCUGGUUUGUCAAAGAGCUCCAUAAAUUUCUCGUAUAGAUUAGCGAUCGAGACUGUGACUUGGCCAGUUUGAGGAAAGAUUUCCCCAGCUGUGUCUUCUUUGGCCUGUAGCUUUUUGACAUAGCUAUCGUCAAAAGUCACGUAAUAGGUCUCUUCGAUUUUUCUCGAACGCUUGUUUAGGACUCUGUAUGCUUUGGAAGUGAGAGAGUAGCCCAGAAAGAUUCCCUCGUCGGCUUUGACAUCGAACUUGUUGCGGUGUUCUUUAGAGUUAAAGAUGAAACACCGUGAGCCGAACACGUGGAAAAAUUUCACAUUGGGCUUCCUGUUGUUGAGAAUCUCAUAAGGUGUGAGCGUGAAUCGCUUGUUGAGAUAGGACCUGUUCUGUGUAAAACAAGCAGCAGAAAUAGCAUCAGCCCAAAAAUAAAGAGGUAAGGAAGCGAAACUUAGCAUAGUUCGGGCAGCUUCACACAAAGAUCGGUUUCGUCUUUCGACAAUUCCGUUCUGUUGAGGUGUGUAGGGAGCUGAGAAGUUGUGACUUAUUCCCUUUUCUGCUAGAAAUUCUUCAAAUUCCCUGUUCUUGAAUUCCAGACCAUUGUCGCUUCUGAUGUUGCGAACGACCUUCUUGAGCUGUACUUCAAUCUGCUUGAUGAACACUUUCAGCUUAUGAGUCGCUUCAGAUUUGAGCUUUAGAAAGAACACCCAUGUAAAUCGUGAAAAGUCAUCAACAAUAACAAGAAUAUACUUGCUACCACCGAUGCUUUCGAUAGAUGAUGGACCACACAAAUCAAUAUGAAGUAAUUCGAGUGGUUCAACAACUUUUGUGUUAAUUAUAGAUGGAUGACUUUGACGACUCUGCUUCCCCAUUUCGCAUGCAGCACACAAAUGAUCUCUGUCGAACUUGAGCAAUGGAAGACCUCGAACAUGACCUCCAGUGACAAGUUUGUUGAUAUCUUUAAAGUUGAGAUGAGAGAGUCUUCGGUGCCACAACCAGCUUUCGUCAGAUUGAGCUUUUGAUAACAAGCAUAUAGCUGGGUUUCCUUUGAUAGGUUUAAGGUUUAGAGGAAACAUUUCACCCUUACGCUCCGAUUUGAGAAUUACUUUCUUCGUCUUCUUCUCAAUAAUUUCAGAACCUUCAUCGUCGAAUGAGACUUUGAGACCUGUACCUCCAACAAGCUGAGAUACACUGAUGAGGUUGUGUUGUAGUCCUUCCACAUAAGCCACCUUCCUUAUAGUAAAAUCACCAUUAGUUAUCAUUCCGUAUCCCUUUAUGGUGCCGAAAGAGUUGUUUCCAAACUUGACGUUGCCACCAUUUGAAAGAGACCUGUAUUCCCUGAGCUCUUCUUUCCUCCCUGUCAUGUGACGCGAGCAGCCACUAUCGAUGUACCAUUCUUCGUCGAACUGCUCGUCACUUAUAACCUGCAAAAAUUAAGCAGAUUUAGGAACCCAAAGUUUCUUGGGUCCACGUGAGCUUUUCAUAGGAACAGGAAUAGUAAGAGAGAUGUCAACAAGAUAUGUUCGUUUUAUAAGUGUUGUUUCAUCUUUCUUUUUGAUGGUAAAGACUUUUAUUUUAUUAGGAUUAGGUGCGUUCGGUUUAGACUCUGGAUUGGAUGCAUUAACCUUCUGUUUGCCUUUUUGUUCAGCUGACGAAUGAGAUUUUUGAGAACGAACAGAAUGAGCUUUAGAGCAAGAUGGAGAUGAAUUGGAAGAAUUAGAAGAAUUAGAUGAAUGAGAAGGAGUGGGCUUAGAUUGAGAUGACUUCUUGGCUGGAGACUCUAGGUGACCCUUUUGCUUUUGAUCAUUGGUGGGACUGACCUUAGAGUUUUGAUCUCUUUUGACUUCAGAAACGAACCUUUGCUUUCGGUUGGAGCAGUUCUCUGAACCGAACCUAUGCUUUCGGUUGGAGUCAUUCUCAGAACCGAGCCUUUGCUUUCGGUUGGUAUUCUCUUCUGAACCGAACCUUGGCUUUCGGUUGUUGUGGCUCUCAUGCUUUUUGACAGGAUUGUUCUCAAACUUCAGAUUCUUGUCUUGAUGUGAGAAAUAUGCAUUUUGGGAUUGCCAGAAUUGUUUCCUUUCAGAGAGAUUCUUCCUGUAUCUCUGGUUCCUUUCACGUUUCUUAUUCCUCAUCUGCUUCGGUUGAUGAUGAAUAUUGGCUUUCAUUUUCGGUUUCUCCUUGGCUGGUUCACUUUGAACUGUAGGAGUUUCACUUUGAACUGAGGAACUAGAGGGAAUGUCUUCUUUUGCCGAACUUCCAUUCUCUUGAGGAAUGUCUUUCGUACCACUAGUACUUGGCUCAUCGAAAUUAUCUGGCUUAUUCAAGGGUUCUGGUAUGUAUCUACCUUUACUCAUCCAUGAGGUUCUUUCUGAUAAGCCUACCGUUUCGUUUGCAUUAUCUAUUGGAGCUGACCAGAAGUACUCAUCGCAGCCAUCAGCAUUGUCUUCGUUUACAAUAGCUGUGAGUUCAGCGGUCUGAUGUUCGGUUACUCCAGUGACCUUGUACACUUGAUUUGGAGUGGUCCUGACCUUUUGAUAUACAACUGCUUUCUCUGCUAAGAUCGGGGACUUUUGUUGGGACAAUCGAGCGAACUCCACUGAAUUUUCAGAAAUUAGAUUCUUGUGGUUUUCAGGUUCGCUUUUUACAAAUUCUGAGCAGUCAACCGUGUCCUCUACAGAAAUUUCACUCAUGUUGUCGUCCUCGUUAAGCUCAGAUGCAUUUUCAACAUCAAUUUUGUUUUCUGAGCUUACGUUGGCGUUUAAAGAGUCAAAUUUUUGUAUGGUUUCGGUUCUCAGUUUAAGUCUAUCAUUUUCAUCCAAAAGGUUUUUAAGCAUGUCCUUGUGGUCCUUGGAUUUAAUGAAAGAUUCUAUUUUGUCCAGUCCAUACAUGUAGGUUGGAUUGACGUCAUCAGAUGAUAUCACACUCUCACAAUUAUAAGCUUCGGCAUCGAUUUCAUCCUCCUUAAACUCAAGGAAGGGCAAAAUCAUGCGAUGGAUCUUUUGGCCUAUUUCACAGUCCAAGUGAAGCUGAGUAAUAUUAGAAUAAAGACGUUUUGCAAUUAAACAAAAAACAUUCCGCUGUUUUAACAACUUUAAAUUGUCUCUUUGUAAAUAAAUGUUUUCGUCUUUUAUUUUAACUAAUUCAGACUCCUUCAACUCGAUCCACAUGCGCCGCUCCUCACUCUUCGAAGACACCCUGCUUAAUUGAUCAGUUAGGUUAGAAUUGGUGACUCGAGUUUGAGUUAAGCUACUAUCUAGAUGAGAAAUUCUUGUAUUAACAUUUUUUAGUUCUUUCUCAUAUGAGGAUUGUGGUACUUUAAAUGAAAUGAAAACCGAUUGUACCUUCUUUAUCAGUUCAUCAAGCUCAUUGAACUGCUGGCUGAGUGGUUUGGCCGUAAAGCACAUGUCCUCCUGCCCCUUCGGUUCAUUGCUUCCACCAUCAGUGUUGUAUCCCCUCAUCUGAGAUACAUCAGACACCAUGAAGCAUCUUCCUCCACUGCUCUCCUCCUUUGCCACAUAAGCCUUUCCAUGAGUAGGCUUCCUCACUUCAUCGUCUUCUGAGUCGGUAGACCAAACUUCCACGCUACCGAACUCGUCAUCAGCAACCGAACCCUGCACAAUAAGAGCAUUCAUGGAAGGGUUAGCGGUAGACUUCUUCUUUCUCAUCUCAUCCAGCCUUUUCUGCAGCACAGCUUCCUCAUCCUUUUCAUCAUCCUUUUCAGCCAUCUUUUUAAGGACACAAUCUUUAGCAUAGUGGUUUUUCCCACCACAGUAGUAACAGCUUACUCCAGAAUCACCAUCUGCCUUCGGUUCCUUCUUGGGCUCUUCAACCUUCGGUUCAUUGUUAACCUUUUCUGAACUAUAACUCCCCUGCCAGUUUCGGUUUUUGUUGCUGGGGAAUCUCUUCUUAAUGAACCUCUUGGGGUUAGACACCAUCAUAGCAUAAUCCUCAGACGUGAGGUCAUACUCCUCCAAGUUGAGGUCUUCAUCCUCCAUCACAGCUUUACUUUUUGACAGGAGGGCCAGCGAACCAAGGCUUGAAACAACGUUCUUCUCCUGCAGUACAAUCUUCUCCUGGGACUUGAGAAUACCCACCAGUUUCGCCAAAGAAUAUGAUUUAAACUGCUCAUGGGCUUUGACUGUAGACACCACUGCUCUCCAUUCUGACCUUAGACCAUUUAAGAACGUAACCUUCUGCUCGAUAAGCUUCCUUUCGAUGUCAUGUUUGAUCAUCCUGCUGAGAAGAUGAUUGAAGCGAUCGAACGUCUGGGUCACAGUUUCUUCGGCUCCUUGCCUGAAUUCUCCAAACUCAGAUAAGAGCAAGGUUUGGAUAGAAUGUUCAAGAUCCUCGUCUGUAGAGUACAGUUCGCGAAGUCUAUCCCAAACUUCCUUUGCCGUCGUGCAUGAGCUGACCAACCUGAAGGUGUCGGACUGAAGGGCAAAUCUUAUCAAUCUUAACGCCUUGAUAUUGCACUGGAAUUUAUCCUUUUCAUCUUGUGCAAUAUCUUUAACAUCCUUCAGCAGAUCAUUGUACUCCUUUUGAGUUUUGAUAAUCCUGGACGUUGCAGAAUGAGAAAAAGGUCCAUUAAUGAUAGCUUCCCAUAUGAGGUAUCCAUUAUCCUCAGAUCCUAUCACGUAGUCUUCGAAGUGAUGCGCCCAGACUUCAUAGUCAUGGGUAUAUAGGAUUGGAAUCUUCGUGGUUGAACCGAUGCUGUUGGAAAUAUUGAUGGGGUUUGAUUGCGACUCGUCCAUUAUGAUCGAAAAACCUGUUUAAAGAUCAGACUUGUAAUAAAUCAGAUUAGGGCAAAACAAUAAAUAUCAAGAUACGUCAAUAAUGAGAUGACGGCUCAAUAAAUAUCAGUGAUUGCGGAAAAACCCUAAUUGAAACCUUUUCACAGAAAAGAUGUGUAUCGAUUACACAGCCUCCUGCUCUGAUACCAAUUGAUGAGAUUAGAACUUAAUCUUGAAGAUCGAUUAGAUCUUAAACAGGUAAAUAAUUAUUUAAACAGUAAGAACGAAUGCAAAAUAAAGAACAACUCAAUGAUGAAUCAAACGUGUCGAAUGAUUAAAAACAAAAUCCUCAGAAGAGCUCGAUUAAGAACAUCAACUGUAGAGGAUAGGUAGGUUACAAGAACGAUAAAGAAAUCUGUAAAUACUAUCGUUAUGCUCUAGAUCAAUCGUUAAAUUAUUAACCUAAUAUGCAUGCAAGCAUAUACUUAUAUAAUAAACAUAAUGGGCUAUCGGUUGGACAGGCCCAAACCGGAAUACAAAUUAAAUAAACAAUUAGCCGAGCCCAAAGACGCAACCCUUGAACAAAUCUUCAACCCAACACUAAGGGCUAACUUGGAAUUAAAGUAUUCAUAAGUGAAAUCAUUUCAAAUUCCAAAACUUGAGAGCAAGUGUUGAAGCUAUUCAAAACUAAUUAAUUUCAUAACUUAUGAGUUUAAAGUAGUAUUAAUUACAAACUCUUCAAGUUCCAUAACUUAUGAGUUUAAACUAUUAAAGAAUGUUACUCUUCCUUAUUCAUAACUUAUGGAUUUAAUUAAGGUUACGUAUUUUUUAUUAUUUAAUGAAGAGUCUCUUGAACAUCCAUAACUUGAGGACAAGUUAUGGAGUCAUACAACCAUUUAAUGAGGACAAGAUUCUUCAUUUUGUAACCUAUGACAACGUUUAUGAGUUUUAAGAAACUUAAAUGUGACUUUUCAUGUAACUUGUGGACAAGUUACAAAAACACAUUUUAGAAUCAACUCUUAGAUUAAAAUGGAUUGAAAACAUAUUAUCACAUAAUUUUCUUUUAAUCUAAAUCAACUCAAAAGAUCAAGAUAAUUCAUAAAAAAAAACUUUUGGAUUCCAUAACUUAUGGAGUUUAAUGUUUGUUUAAUGAUGAAACUUUUCAUGUUCCAUAACUUAAGAACAAGUUAUGGAAUUCUUUAAAACAUUAACACCAAUUUUUGUAACUCCAUAAAAAAAAACUCCGAAUCAAAUUUUUUUAAACCUUUCCAUAUCCAUAACUUAUGGAGGUUUCAAAAAAACUCUUUGGAUCAAACUUUUAAAACUAAUAAAAUAAUCAUACCAUUUUAUCUUUUACUAAAUUUGACCUAAUUUAACUUAUAUAGGAAAUGAUUCAAAUUUUACAAAUAAUUAGUUUUUCACAGAAACAAGUAAUUAUCUUAAAAUUUGACAAACGACAUGUUUUUUUUUCCAACUUUGAAAAUAAAACAUUUCAUCAAUAGAACAGAAAACAACCCAUGGCUCUGAUACCACUGUUGGAUUAUGAGCAUUCUAACACUCCUAUGGUGUACAUGCAACCCUAAAUACCUUGGAUCUAUGCUUUCUCUAUUAUACAUGCAAAUAUGAAUAUUCCAAGGUAUUACCCUAUCUAGCAUACAAUCUUUGAUACUUUGGUAAUAAAAUAGAUAGAAUACAUACCUUGUUGAUGUAGCUUGUCUUUAUGAAGCUUGAGUUCCUAGUGCCCUAAGUGUGACACAUCAAAUGGUUCACACAACACCAUGAACACUUGGAAUAACCUUGAGAAUAAGGAUACUUUUGGUUCUCACUAGUGAAAUUGUCCUUUCCCUUUUGUGUACACACACUAGUGCCAAUUUCACCAACCAAGGACUUCUUUAUAUAGUGUGGAGAUUAGGGUUAAACCCUAAUACCCAUGACCUUUUAUUUCAUAUGAUCCAUGGGUUAAACACUCCAUGGACUAUCCAUGAAAGCUUUUCCCAACCUAAAUGAACUUGGCCCAUCACACAUAUAUAUCUAAGAGUCCAUAUUUAAUUAGUCCCUUUUUGAUCACUUAAUCAAUUAUAAAUUAAUUCUUGAUCGAUACUAAUUAAAUAAUAUGAUUAUAUAUUAAUAUAUUAGAACUUAUAAUAUAUUAAUAUAAAUCAUUAGUAUCUUUUUUCCUCAUCUUGUCAAUCCAAAUGUCCCGAUGUCAUGCAACCCAAAUGGAUCAUGUCGGGUCGGGUCAAGUCUUACCAAUUAUAGUUAUGGACUUAAACAUUAAUCCAACAAUUACAUGCCCUCCAUGAAAGAUUUAGCUCAUCAACCCUCAUUUGGAACACCAAAAGCUAGGGCAUCUAGUCUUUAAGGACCUCACAAGUUUUAGAUCUAAGGUUUCCCUCCUCAGAUCAUGUCUCUAUUAGCUCAUAGUCACAAAAGAAGGGGAGUAAAACCCUAAAACUCCCAAGAUCAUGAAAUCUAACCAAAAUAGAUGAAAAGGAUGCAAGUUAAUACCUUCUACAACAGUUCCAUGCGAACAAAUGCUAGAUCUACAACCCUCAUCUUGUUUCUUGCUUGAAUCAUGUUCUUUUCCUUCCAUAAGACCCGCCAAAUUACUUGGUUUCAUCAUAAGAACUCUCUCAUGGCUCCAAUGGCGAUUUAGGGUUUUAUCUGCCCAGAACUUACUCGGUGAGUCUGUCCUUGGACUCGUCGAGUCUGCUCAUUAAAUCCUCGUGAUCAACUCGAUGCGACUCGGCGAGUCAGACCUCCGACUCGUCGAGUACCUCCUAAAUACUCAAAAAAAUUGAAAUACAACUAUCAUACCCGAAAUUUCGGAUGUUACAAUUCUCCCCCACUUAAUUUGAUUUCGCCCUCGAAAUCUCUCUUUAGCAUCACACAAAUCAAAACCUAACAGCCCGCGAAGCACCACUCAAGAGGAUUUCAUACCACACGCUAUCUUCCAAUGAUACCUGAUCCCAACUCCCAAACUCAGAAAAGGACAGACCCAAAUGCCACUACGAUACCACUACUGGCUCCCUAGGAUCCGAAAACUCUAGUGUUAUGUCAUGCUACCAGACCGCUCCCUACAAGAUUUUACCAUGUUAUUCGCUCCUUGAAUAACAGAUCAAAAAAAACCUACUGCCCCACUAAUUCUCUCGUUGCGACUGAUAAAACAAGUCGAAGCCCCAAAAUAGACUUCCGCUCACUUAAACCAAAUAUAUUAGACAAUCCAGAUCCUUUUCCAAAAUGAAAGGGUCACAUCAAACCAGGGAUCCAUCCGAUGAACUGCAACAAAAUCCAACUGAGCAACGAAUUCUCAAUACCCCAACCUUGGGUACAAGAAGAAAAUGAUGUUGCUCCAUAAAAUCUUCUGACUUCUACAACUAUGUACCUCAGCUCCCUCCCCGAUAUCCCUUUCAACAGUGAGCACUUGAUCAACUCUUGAUCCCACAACUGAACCUCUAAAGGUUACCCAUAACAUACCCAACAAUGUCUCAUUGACUACCUUCUCUCCACAACCAUCUCGGCCCAUUGUAACACAAAAGUCAUGAAGUUUGCCUUACCGCAAGCGAAAACUACCACUUCGCCUAAAUUUGAUACACUCGACCUCUAACGUCUACUACUCACUAGCUCCAUGCGUCCUGAGAUCUUUCCCAUUCCAACGAAGUGACCCAAUCAGGUCUAAAACAUCCAAAAAUGCACAGUGCCUCUCAUGAAGCAACUCACCACUAAAUCCGAAAUCUCAUUUCGCCUUCUCGAUACGCCACUAGGGCCAACUCGAACUCGAGAGUCUGACUCAAAAGCAAAAAUUUGGAACCACUCAUCGCAAUGACGUACACAACUCAUAACCCAUGACUCGCAACUUAUGCGUACAACCCUUCUCCAUUUCAUUCUAAUUAAGAUAACCAUACUUUAACUCAGAAUAUGAUAACUCCCGACCAUUCGGGAGACCCCAGUCUCGCCCACGGCCUAACCACCAGGUUCCUACAGACUCAAAUAUAAGGCUACCUAAGCCUAGGAACUCCUCUGCGUCAUGCUCUGACUAGCGAAGACUACGACUUCUCAUGGUUCCACAACAGUCUCUCUUACUGCCUGGCGAAUACUACAGCUUCUCGAAGUAUCGCCACACCAUCUCGCUGACUGGUGGACACUACGGCUCCUCGCAAUACCACAACACCCUCUCGCUGACUGGUGGAAACUGCGGCUCCCCGCAGUACCACCACACCUCCUCACUGAUUGGUGAAUGCUACGACUUCCUGUAGUAUCACCACACCCUCUCACACUAACCAAUGGAUGAUGCACCUCCCCGCAGUCUUACAACACUUUCUCUUACCACCCCACGAUCUCAUAUCCAAUCGAUGCUAUAAUGCAUUCACUAACUCUUGUUCCGUGGCCCAACAUAGAUAGGUGCACUCACACCCCUCCAAAAAUAUACACCAUUACUCCUGUCUGCAGCUGCCAUGUCAAAGCCCCUAUUUUCACUACUAAUCACAUUCUUGCAUAAUCUCGCUUGAUAUCAUUUGGCUGAAGGGCUCCCACUGGAACCAUAGAUACCUGCUACACCACAUGCCAUCUCAUAACUCAAACUUGAAAUAAUUCGAACCUUAGGACAUCACACUCGGAUAUCUUAGAGUACCAUUACAAAACUUCACGAUGCCUUGCCUCUAUCACUGACCUCAUACUCACCGCAUCAUGCUCAGAUACCGCAUUGCUUCAUCAUAAUCUCGCAACCGAUCUUCCUCUUGCACCACUCUCUAUUGAUCACUACCCAUACAAAACUACUCAGGCCACUCCUAAAACUGGUUGACAAACCAUUUGCUACCCUUCUUGUGGUAUGGAUCACAAUUUAUACCUACACUUGCAAAUCUCUGCCAUUGCACCCUGAAUCCAGCGAUCCCACCUCACUCGAAUUUGACAUACGCAAAUUCUAAAAAUCCUAGGCCAUAAUGAAUUCUCCAAUCAAUGAUCACACGUUAGGGAUCCACUCAUCCUUUCCUAAACGCAUACUCAUAUCUUUUCGUGCCUGGCACCUUGCCUCAUCCUUUUCUAACUCGGGUCUCAUAUGCUUGUACCACAGUUUUCCAUAACCAUUUCUUUGACCGCACUUGAACGGAUCAUCGAUCCCUUACUGAAAUGUCUGUUCUCCCCCACUUAGGGUUUGAACCAUCACCAUUCGGCACGACCACAACCUACUCAGAAGAAUGUCCCACCAAGUAUGUCACACUUGACUCUUGGAUGUAUAACGCAAUCCUCCCCGGGACUUCCCCAAGGAAACCAAACCAUUUCCAUAAGUCCCGUCCCUGACAGCAACUCAGAAUCCUCCCCACAUAACUGCCUCUAAACAUUUUAAGGCCUCAGACUGAUACACUGUCGGAACCCCACUGUUCCGAAUCCCAUCUGGAAUAGUGCCCUCUCGCACACUUAACUCUAAAUCUUCGCCCCGCAUACCCAAAUAGGAAAUAAUCCUAAAAGCAUAGACUUCAUCCUCAUUGUCGAUACACAAUGCGGACCACGAGGGCCACCGCCCCGGUAUACUCAUCUCAUCCACCGGAAACUGACAAUAACAAUAUAGCACUCUCAACAAAGCACCUCUUCGUAACCAUCCGUCUUAGUCUCACUAAUGACUCUUUCUUGGUAUAAGAAUACCUCGCAACCAAGAUACUGCCCAAAUGUUCUGGUGAAAAGGUCAGCAUGCUUGCUACCCACAGGGUUUACCUUCAACUGCAUCUCGUAGAAAACUGAAAUACCACCACCCAAGUCACAAAAAGUGACAUCUCCACUAUCGGCCGGUCGCUCAGCCCAUACCGUCUUCUUCCAUAAUGCAUCAUCCCUACUCAUCCCUGAGUCUUGCAACUCCAAAUGGCAUCUCACAACAAUCCCUUGGGGCUAAAUCGAUUUCCCUCUCAAGGGAUGCUCCAAUAAACUCGUUCAUCAUGGCCUUCUGGCCCCAUACUCUUUUACAUCUGAUCUUAGUCAAGACAAUCACAACAGAAUAACAGGUAAAACCAGAAGCACUAACCGCCACAUGUCAUGGUACUCAAACCGUGUGCCACCUCUCGAUCUACUACUUAUCAUGGUACUCGAACCAUGACAUCACAUCUCAAUCUGCUACUUAUCAUGGUACUCGAACCAUGACAUCACCUCUCAAUCUACUACUUUUCAUGGUACUCGAACCAUGACAUCACCUCUCAAUCUGCUACUUAUCAUGGUACUCGAACCAUGACAUCACCUCUCAAUCUGCUACUUAUCAUGGUACUCGAACCAUGACAUCACCUUUCAAUCUGCUAGUUAUCAUGGUACUCGAACCAUGACAUCACCCCAAGUCCUCCUCCUAGGAUUCCAGAUCACAAGUACUCUACAUCUUAUCACACACAGGCCAUUUUCCAGUAGACCUCUCACAAGCUCCUCUCUGCUACUUACUCACUCUCGAAGUAACUCACAGCAUCAGUAACUCCUAGGCUAAGGCAUCAGAAAUCAGGCCACUCUAGUCCUAGAUAUGAAUACCUAGCCUACUCUCUAGCAUGCAUAACAUAUCACAUAAUAUUCACAUAACAUAAAACAUAAAGGUAUUUUGGGAAAUCACCGUUUGGGCGCUCACUUAUUGUACAUACUGCUCCUUUCCGCUUUCUUGAAAAUCUUUUACCUAUCUUAGAAAAUCGUUUAUUUUUGAAAACUUUUCUCAAAUACUCAGUUUGAGUUGAGAUAUGCCCGAAGGUGUAUUGGAAUCCCUCAAACCAAGGCUUUGAUACCAACUUGUAACACUGUAAAUUUUCAAACAUUUUUUUUCAAGUUUAAAUUACCAACGUCACAUAUAACGUAUUUCGAAAUAGUUUUCAAAUGUUAUUAUCAAAAUUUAGGAUCCUCAUUCAUGACUCUUUUCUCUUAUGUGUACAAUCGAGUCGUCACCUUCCCGCGAUCCUGAUAAGAACUUGAAACACAUAACACAUAACACGGUAAGCACGCAUGCUUAGUGAGUUCCCCCAAAAUACCACAUACAACACAUAUGCCACUCAAGGAUAAUACUCUAUAAGACCUUCCGGUCAAUGUGUCUCAGGGGACUUCCGUCCCAUUAUCCUGGUAGACCUUUUGGUCCCACUUCUCUGACGUUCCGGUCCGUAUCAUCUUGACCUUCUGGCCCAUACAUUGUUGACCUUCUGGUCCAUAUCAUAAUACUCAUAACAUAACAUAGCGCAUACAUAUCCUAUAACAGCAUACAUCACAUACUCAUCAUAGGAAAUAAGACCUUUCGGUCACACAUAAUUACCACUCUAGGUAAAGUAUAGUGAGAAGACUCACCUUGAAAGCAACCAAGUGACAGCCUCGCACUAGGAAAUGUCGACCUAGCUUCCGCCUAACACAUAGGUUAAACAUCUCUUAACAAUACUUACUCAUACUCAAACACACCCAAGGAUAUUCUCUUUCUCUGUCUGACUCUUGAAGUGGGUAAAAGUCCAUUUUACCCCUCCAUGGCUUCCAUCACACAUGGUUGACCCAACCCUAAAGUCAACCGUAGUAAAACUCGAGUCCACAGUCCAGAUCUGACCCGAAUCGACGAGUGCACCCUUGUGACUCGUCGAGCCAACUCACUUUCUCCAAAGUUUCGCAGGGAUCCAGAUCAACUUGUCGAGUUGACCCCAUAACUCACCGAGUUAGUACGUGAUUCAGCUUGACCAGGAAAACCCUAACCGACUCGUCGAGUCGGCUCAUGGACUCGACGAGUCUAUCCAGCCCUUUUCUCAUUCAGACGAUUUCACUCAGAUCUAUUACUCUAAACCAUAGAUCUAUCAUCUCAAGGCUCAAUAAUCACGUAAAGCUUCAAUCUUUACAUUCAUGCAUGAUGCUAUUGCUUCAAAAUGCCAUUGCAUGACCUCCAUGAAGGAUUUAGCUCAUCAACCCUCAUUUCGACCACUAAAGCUAGGGCAUCUAUUCUUCAAGGACCUCACACAGUUCAGAUAUGAGGUUUCCCUCCUCAGAUCAUGUCUCAAUUAGCUCAUACACACAAAAGAAGGGGAGUAAAACCCUAAAACUCCCAAGAUCAUGAAAUCUAACCAAAAUAGAUGAAAAGGAUGCAAGUUAAUACCUUCUACAACACUUCAAUGCGAAGAAAUGCUAGAUCCACAACCCCCAUCUUGUUUCUUGCUUGAAUCAUGCUCUUUUCCUUCCAUAAGACCCACCAAUUUAUUGGAUUUCAUCAUAAGAACUCUCAUGUGGCUCGAAUGGCGAUUUAGGGAUUGUCACAGGAGGUAUGAGGCGCACCUAAGGUCAUAAGUUCCCUUAAAUCGGCCCCAACCCCGGACACUUAGGAUUUUCUCUGCCCAUAACCUACUCAGCGAGUCUGUCUUUGGACUCGUCGAGUCUGCUCAUUAGAUCCUCGUGAUCACCUCGAUGAGACUCGGCGACUCAGACCUUCGGCUCGUCGAGUCCUUCCUAAACCCUCAAAAAAAUUAAAACACGACUAUCAUACCCAAAAAUUUUGGAUGUUACAUUCUAAUCCUCAGCAAAUGAUUUCAAUGUAAAUCGCAAAUAGUGUGGAUGGCCCUACACGUGCCCCACUGCUAGUUAUGGAAGAAUACGAUCACUGGAAAGAUAGAAUGGAAAGAUUUUUACUUGCCAAAGAUAAAGGUGAAAAAUAUGGAGAUCCAUCACAAAAGGUCCACAUGUUCCUGUAAUAACUGUUGUAAGAGAUGCAGCUGCUCAGCUCAUGCAUAAAGAUGAAACUCGCCCAGCUCCUCUAACUGCUGAUGACAUCAAAAAGCUACAUGCUGAUCAAGUUGCCUUCUAAGAAAUGGUGUUUGGUGUUCCUCCUUCACUUUUUUAGCAUAUCAAGCUAUGCAAAUCAGCUAAAGAGAUAUGGGACACUCUUCAGGACCUGAUUAAAGGAUCUGAAAAUAUGAAAGACAAGCGCCUCACCUCUGUUGUCAAUGACUUUGACACUUUUACCACCACUCCGGGUGAGUCAGUGGCCUCUGCUUCCAACUAUUAUCGCAUUGUGGUAAACAACAUGACUGCUCAUGGGAUUGUCCGAACUCCAUUGGAGUACAAUCUCAAGUUCAUAAACAGUCUGGGCAAACGAUGGGGAAAUGUAAACUCUUGUCUCCAAAGUAAUGGCUCCUUAAAAAAACUGAAGCUUUAUCAACUCUUUGAUGAACUUCAAGGCCAUGAUUCCAACGUUGCUCAAACCAUAAGGGAACUAUCCGGAGGUCCUCUUGCUCUUUUCGGUUCUUUCGAAUCAACCAUUCUGAACUCAUCCACUUUGGAACCCUUCAAACCCAUUGUUCCAUCCGUUCAAACAUCCAAACCUUCCUUAUCGACACAAUCCUAUGCUGCUGAUAAUUCUGAAGCUAUGGACUCUGAACUCCGUUUCCAAAAGGAGUUCGCACUACUUUCAAUGAAGUACAAACGUCCCUUCAAUCCUUCCUACAAACCAUACCAAAACCUAUUCCAUGCUCCUUAUGAGAACAAUCCUCAACCAUUUUCAAUUCUGGAACCUAAAUCAUCCGAGAAUCCUCCUACAUACAAACCAAACCUCCCUAAAACAAGCUCUACUUCGGAUCCCUCUCAGAGUUCAAAAUCAGACAAACCAAAAAUUGUGUGUCAUAAGUGUGGAAAUGCAAACCAUUUUGCUAAAGAUUGUCUUGCUGUUGCUCCAAUAAAACAAAAGGUCAAGGACUCUGCCUACUAUGUCCGAAGAGCACAAGAAAUGGUUGAAAGUGAAAAAGCCUUUGUCACAACUGUUUCAAGAGAUGUUGAAGGAUAUUGGUCCGCCGGGGAUGAAGAUGAUAUGUCAACUAGAAGGAAUAUGUGUCUGAUGGCAAGACAAACGGUUGAAUGUGAUGAAGGGUACUGGUUCUUCUGGGCCAGAAGAUGAAGAUAGUGAUGUUGAACCUCACUAUUGUUACAUGGAAACCAAUGAUCCACCAGGUCGAAGCAUUGUUCAACAGGUAAAAUCUAUGAUCUCUGAUAAUAAUUUUGACUUGUCUCUCUAUAAACCUUAUCUGACCCAAAUUCAAAUAGAUAUGAACACCAUCUAUAAACCUAUGAAUCUGCAAUAGACGCGAGUCAGAAGAACGAGUGUGAGUUAAAUCAUCUUAGGUUACGUUUCUAGGAAAAAAAUUUAAAAAUCAAGUCUUUAGAGCAUGAAAUUGUAAUGUUAAGUGAUGAAUGUAUCAUUUUGAAAGAUAAAUGUGAAAUCACCUAGUCCAAACGUAAUGUUUUGAUUUCUGAUAAUAAGCAUCUUAAUGCCAAAAUAGAUGCUUUGCAUAAUUCUGUUGAUAUGCUUGAAGCGGACAUUCAGAUGACUCACAAUUUUCGUCAUCCCGGGUCUAAAGCACCUGGUCUCGGAAGCGAGUUUCCGAAACCAAUUGCUAGUCCCCUGAAGGAAUUCCAAAACUUGACAUUUAUGGGAGAAGUUUCGAACAUCAAACAUUCUGACACCCCUAUUUCUCCCUUGUCACCCCUUUCGGAGACUACUGACCAUUUUGAGUCCCUAAUUCCUGAUUUCAAACCAAUUGUUGUCAAAUGUCCUAAUUCCACCCAAAUUCCGCCUCAGACAAACCUGGACCUGAAUCGGACCAUGGAAUUCCAUUACAGUUUCCCAAAUUGUGUAGACUAUGUUCCUAGAAGCAAUCACACUAACAAUUGUGUUGUUGAAGAAAUUCCUACCUUGAGAACUAAAACUGAUACCUCUGAGUUUGUGUGGGCAUCCUUAGAUGACAAGGUUGGAAAAUCAAGCAGUGUCUCCUCUGAUUCUUGUGAAUUGGAUACCUUAGUUAUUUCAAAAACUAAGUUGGUUCCUAUUUCUCCUAAGUUUGAUAAUCCGGCCGUAGGACAGACCUCAAAGUUUCUUGAGGAUUCAGAUCAACUCGUUGAGUUGACUCCACAACUCACCGAGUUAGUACGCGAUUCAGCUUGACCAUGAAAACCCUAUCUAACUCAUCGAGUUGGCUCAUGGACUCAGUGAGUCUAUCCAUCCGUUUUCUCAUACAGACAAUUUCACUUAAAUCUAUUAGUCUAAACCAUACAUCUAUCAUCUCAAGGCUCAAUAAUCACGUAAAGCUUCAAUCUUUAUGUUCAUGCAUGAUGCUAUGGCUUCAAAAUGCCAUUACAUGCCGUCCAUUAAAGAUUUAGCUCAUCAACCCUCAUUUGGGCCACUAAAGUUGGGGCAUCUAGUCUUCAAGGACCUCACAAGGUUCAGAUCAAAGGUUUCCCUCCUCAGAUCAUGUCUCAAUUAGCUCAUAGGCACAAAAGUAGUGGAGUAAAACCCAAAAACUGAUGGGUUUUAGCAAUAAGAACAUCCUAUGUGCUCAUACAAACCCUAAUGCUUGGAUCUAGGUUUCUCUAUUGUACAUGCAAGUUAUCCAAUACUAUAAACCCUAGAUAUAGCAUAUGAUAAUCAAUAUAACAUAUAAAGAAGGGUUUAGAUCAUACCUUGAUUGUGAUAUAGCAAUAACAAUCACAAUUCCUUCUUGUAAUGACUUUAGAAAGCUUAGAGUCACAAAUGUCACUCCUCUAAUGGUUCACAAACACCAAGAGCAAGAGGAUGAAGAGGAGAAGAGAAGGAGGCUGCCCAAAACGUGUGGAAACCCUAGAAGAAGUCUUGUUUACAUUUUUGGGGCAUAAGGGAUCCUUAAAUAGUGAGGCUACUAGGGUUAUCUAACAAGGAAACCCUAAUUUGGAUGCUUAAGCCCUAAGCAACCCAUGGGCUCCUCCCUUAAAGACCUUGGACGAUUUCUAAUGGGUUUCCCCACAGAAUUCGUCCACUCCUUUUAUAUGGAGUCCAUUAGCUCAAUAUUCAACUAUCAUACAAUUGACAGUUCAAGUCCCUUAAGUUUAAUUAAUGUCUUUUACUCACAAACUUAAUUCUUAUUAAUUAUUGACUAAUAUUAAUUAAAACAUAUGAUUUCUCCUUUAAUAUAUUAUUCCCAUAACAUAUUGAUAAAUCAUAUUUAAUCCUUUAUCUCCAUAAUUCAUCCUAUCAAGUUGCUUUGGUGAAGGCAACCCAAAAGGACCAUGCACCAUUAGGUCAAGUACAUACCAAAAUAGUUAUGGACUUAGACACUAAUCCAACAGUCUCCCACUUGGAUAAGUCUAAUAACUAUCCCGCGUAUUACUUCAGAUCCUGAUCUUCAAUCGUAGCUUUCUAAAGCCGCUGUCAACUCUAAUCUUAUCAGAUACGCGUGUCCUUUAGAUAAGGGAUCAUAUAUUCCUCCAUUCUAGAUAUCGUAUAGACUGAGACAUGGAUCUAAAUCAUUCUCUCUGUCUAUGUGCUGUUUCCCGAAUUCAGAUUUAUGACGACUGACAACGUACUACAAUUUGAACACAUCAAAUUAGUCCUGGCUUGGCCAAGCGCUUAGGUGCCAUCACUAAAUCAUCGAGGGGCCCACAAAAUAUCGCUUUUAUCCUACUUUGAAUAAAAGGAACGGAUAAACUUUGACUCAAUACUCGCUUGCACUCACUCACCGAACACACAACAAUAUGUUUUAUAACACCGAGUUAGUAGUGCGUUUACAUAUUAUCAAUGUGUAACCGAUUCGCAAGAUACAACUCACACAUCUCGGUUUCAAGAAUAUAAGAUGUUAUCGUCUCACCAAUCACUCGUGAUACAAUCCAUGAAGUGAUCCAAGUGAGCGUGGGUUUAAUCCAAUGCUCAAAUCAUAUUCAUAAGCACUCAUGAACGUUGCUACAAACAUUUGCUUAUGUAUAACGCUCUUUAGACAAUCCACACACCAAUUCACGACAGUCUUUAUUCAUAUCUACUUCCAACAUAUGACCGACUGUGGCCAGUUUGAAUAAUUUGACUGUUCUCAACCAAUUAAAUUAUUCAGGAAGUCAAAACAUGCAAAGUGAAAUACAAGAAUAAUACUAAUCCCAUAUGGCCUCAAACCUUUGAGUAUAAAUAAAACACCUUUUAUUUAUCACCAUAUCAAUUACUCAUUAUUUGUUGUUUUGGGUAAUCAACUUCUUACUUGAAUUAUUACUACACUUGUCCCGUGCUCUUAGCAUUCACACAAUGUUUUUCCUACAGUUCUUACUUUGUGAAAUAGAUCAAAUGAACACAAUUCCAAUCAUACUCAUUUCACAACUCCUAAUCCUUUUCACAAGUGAAAGAAUAUCAAAUUCUUGCCACUUAUGGAAUAUGUUAGAUUCUAACAUUUUAUGCAAUGCUCCUUUCGUAAUAUCAAUGUACUAAAGUCACAAUGACUAUUGCCAAUGAAAUUACAAAGUCCUCUAUCGGAGAUUGUUACAAGACAAUUCCAUAGAUGUGAUGUCUCUCACUCAAAGUACAUUCCUUUGAACAUCCUUUUGCAUAAAAUUUCUAAUCUAGACAUUGAUUCUCAAUAUCCAACCCCCAAUAUGGAAACCUUUCCAUACUCAUCAUAUGAUAACUCAUUCUCAAUAAAAUCUUAUCUAUUCAUAAUAAUGUCGAUAUAGUCCAUUCAAUACUAUACUUCCAACUACUCACAAGCGACCAAUCCUUGGCGAACUUUGGAUUGUCCUUUGAUAGUUGUUUAAUUAUUUUAGUCAAAACCGAUUCUUGUCCUUUUUCCCUCUAAAUGCGCUAGAAAUUUGGAAAAUGGUAGAAUGCUCAAAUAUUAUAGCAUUUGCCAUCGAUCCUAUACCCGAAGCGUAUAGGACACGAUGCAUAAUGUCUUACAUAAAGAUUUGAUACUUUAUCAAUCUUUUGCCAUAAUAUUUUAUGUGCUACGUUCUCAUAAUUCGAAGUAUGAAGAGGAAUGCCAUAAUCAUAAUCAAAAUUUCUGAAUACGUGUCUAAGCUAGUGGGAGCAUAAGUUUUAUGUUCGUAAUAAUCAUCGUGAUAAUGGGAGCAUAAAUGUUAUGAUUGCAUGAUUAUUAAGGCAAGUAUUGCAAGUUAGCAAUAUUAAUUAUAGAAAAACAAGAGUCAUACUUUGCAAAGUUGUAAGAGUUGAAUAGUUGUUUUGCGAUAAUUAAGGGAGAGAGUAUUAUUAACAUUCCACAACCUAAGCCUUUAGAUUUGAAAUGAAGCAUAAUAUUCUCUCCCUUAAUUAUAGAAAAAUAACUAUUCAACUCUUUCAACUUUGCAAAAUAUGACUCUUGUUUUUCUAUAAUUAAUAUUGCUAACUUGCAAUACUUGCCUUAAUAAUCAUGCAAUCAUAACAUUUAUACUCCCACUAUCACGAUGAUUAUUAUAAACAUAAAACUUAUGCUCCCACUAACUUUGACACGUAUUCAGAAACAACUAAACUUUCAGAAAAAAAAUGCCUAUUGAAUUUCUUUAAGUUCAUAUUUCUAAUACCAAUGCUUUGAUAAUCUUUUAUCAAGGGUUCUUAAACUUAUACACCUUUGCCUUAGAUAGUUUAUAUGUGUGUUUUAAACAAUUUAGACUAAUUGCCAAAUCACAUAAUUUAAAUUACGGAAAGGGAUACCAUAACCAUAAUCGAAUUCGAGAAUGCAAUUUUCACAAUCACUAUCUUUUUAAAAUCUUCCUUAGUGAAAUCAUUUUCUCACAGUCAUUUUCAUGAAGGAGGGAAUCUUAUGACACUUAGAUUUUAAUGAUGUAUGUGUUCCUAUCCAUGUGAAUUUGUCAAAACCAAAGUAUACGACAAAUUCAAACUCAUAUGGACCGAACUUUCACAAUUUUGAUUUCUUGCCUUAUGGUAACACGGCUGCCCACCAUGACUUCCAAGUAGUUNAGCUCACCCUUUCCUAUCAAUGUACUUUCAAUUGAUCAAGGUCCUUGCCUUUUAUGCAUUCAAAUGAGAACUCAUAGGGCUCACAUGCAUAAUUAACUCAAUUGGAACGGCACAGAAACAAGGUAAUGUCAACACGAUAGGUUGUAAACCUCUACUCGUGUGCUAGUGAUGAUCGAUAAGGUUUAUUCUUGAUUUGUUCUUGAAACCUUUCAAGACCAUUAAGACUCCCACUGACUCCUUGACAUAUAAGAUUCUCUUGUCAAUAAACAUUUCUUGACAAACAAAUAUUCAAGAGUUAGUGUAGCCUUUAUCAAGACAAAACAUUUCAUAAAAUUGGUCCUAGUUGGUCUUUGUCUUAUCCAAGACAUCACAACUUUCCAAUUUCAAAUGUGUGAGAAUAGGAAAGCCUUUUUCCAAAUUCUACAUUUGAUGAAUGUUAUAAACCUUCCUAAGACUUGUCACUUAAUGUCACAAUCUUAACUCUAAGACUUGUUUUGGAAUGAAGUAUGAUUGACUUCUUGAUUUAACCAUUUCUUCAAUUCUUGAUUCCUCUUCUUAUACAUACACUUUUACUAGGAUUUAUUUAGAGGAUCAAUUGAGAUAUGGUUCUUAAUCAUUAAGUCAUAUCAUAAAGCAUAAAAGGUACUCUCCCUUCUUCUUAGAAUAGAGAAACUUUUAUCUUUCUGCCUACUUGAUUCUUCUUAUUCGUUCUGCUAUUGAUUUAAACCUUUUUCAAUCAAUUCAGAAUUACACUUAAUCUUAUAAGCAUAAUCAUAUUUACUAAUCCUUUAGUAAAUCAUGACGAAUAUCUUUGUUACCCUUGUGGUGGACUUGAUCAACACACAACUUUGUGUACUCGAUCUCCUAGUCCUUCACUUGACACUUUGUCAACGAAUUAGUCUAAUUUCCAAAUAUGAAAUUUCUCAUUCAUCGUGCAACCAAGUUGCAUGAUUCCAAGUUUCUGUCCAAUUGAAACUUGGGCGAUGAGAAACUCUCCCUAUUUGGUAAAUUCUUGACAUUUCCACAAUUAACAUAAUUAAGAAUCAUAUCCAUUCGUUGUAGAAAUAUGCAAACAUCAAUUUUCAUAAUGAUUUCAUUGCAAGGAAAUAAAUAAAUAAAUAAAUAAGUCAUAUCAAAAAUUUAUUUUAUUCAUAAAAGCAGCGGAAAACAUUUGUCCUUACAAUGCAAAAUCAACUGAAAAACUAUGUAGUCAAAUAUUCCUAACAAUUCUAUCAUAACUUUCUAAGCUCAAAAUCUAAUCUUCAAGUCCAUGCGAUCGAGAUCCAUUUCUUCGUGAUUAGACUCAUCUUGCUUUUCCAUCAAGCUUCCUCUCUUUUCACUGAUCCUGCAAAACAUUCAAAUGCAAUCUUAUCACAUCAUGUAUUAAGAAUCAACGAAUAGGAACUUAAUGGAGUUAGAUAGUGGAUUUUACCUGAAGCACAACCAUACUCUUUGACUCUCCCAUCUUCUGGACUCUUCAGGCUCUUAGGGCAGACUUGUAUCCAACGCCCUUUCUCUUGGCAGCAAACGCAGGUCGGUUCUCCUAGAACGUCCUCGGAAGCAUGGUUGGUUGACUUUCCCAACAAAUAUGCUCCAUUGCUUUGCCAAAUCAUUUCUGAUUCAGCAGCAAUGAGCAUGUAAGUUAGGUCAAUGAGGUUUUCGUCAUGAUCCAUCAUAUAAUACUUUCUUUUGAACUCAUUAUAUGAUUCGGGAAGUGACUACAGAACCCAGUUCACAACUAACUUAUCCGGGAAUGAUGCACCCAACAUUAUUAACCUAUCGAUGUGUGAUUUCAUUACAAGAACGUGGGCACACACGGGUUUACCAUCUUCAUGUUUCAUUUCCAAUAGGGCUUUAGUGACAUUGAACCUUUCAAUUCUUCGAUCUUGUGGGUUAGGGAGGAUAAUUUGCGGAGGAGGAGGAAGUGAACAUGAUUUCUUAUUCCUCGAUCGAAUCAUGGAAUAUCAUCUUCAUGUGGAAUGCUUGUUCCAUGGGAAUUGGGAAGACCAUAGUUGUCGAACUUUGACAUCGACAAAACGGGAGAAAACGAAUUCAAGUUAGUUGAUUGAUUGAGUCCUUAAUAAAUCACCCAAAUGAGAUAUUAAGGCUAGGACCAAACUCAAUACACUACAACCUAGAAAAGGGAUGUCGUAAUCUAGUUGCAGAAUAUUUGAAGGUAAGUGAAUGACGAUUCACUAAUUUCCACCACGAAAAACGAAAAAGAAAUUUAAGUUUUAAAUCUAUGAAAACUCCUAGAUCCUUUGAGAUUCAUUGAACUUUCAAUGGCAUGUUUAUAUCUCGAUAUGCCCCUCUUGUUUGUGACUGGGAUGCCGAGGAUCACAAAGCGGGUGUGAAUAACCAUGCAAACUUACAUGGUGCCCUCACAUGUUACAGUCACCUAUUCGAUGUGCCGGUAAACCACACACGCUCCACCGAACUAUGACAAACAUUGAGUCACCCUUUGCUACCUUUGCUUAGAACCAUUUAGUGUGCCGGUAAACCACACACGCUCCACUAACGUCUUCGCAAGGGCACAAAGUGUAAUUUCAUGGAAUUGCAUCAAUUCACUUUUGCCUAAGUAACUAAGAUUGGGAAUUUAGUUACUUUUGUACUUCAUUAUACUUAUAAUAGAAGGUUCUAAUGGAAGGUUUCGUCCUAUCCUACCCGUUCGGCUAACGACCCUCCACUAGUCAAGAGUGCGGUGGGUAAGAGUGGAUACCCAUUCAAUCGCCAUUUUAUAGGCAAUUUCCUUAAACACCCCUUAUAGACCAGCUUCGUGAAUGAGGCCUACUAACGGUAAGACUGACUUUUACUCAUACAUAUAUAUAAUGUUAGACUUUUAAUGUUAUAUAUAGUAUAGGGUGUAUUUUACACUUUUAAAAUACUAGGUGGUCAAAUUUAACAAUUAUACUUUUAAUUCAAUUAAAUUGUAAACCAAAACUUUUAUGGAUUUAUUAAACCUCUUUUAAUUAUACACCUUAAUUAAUUAAUAAAACCAUAAGGGUGUGAUUUGAACUUUUUCAAAACUAUACUAGAGUUUUAGAAUUUAACAUUCCUAAUUAAACUUUUAAUCAACUUUUAAAUUCCAAAACUUGAGGGCAAGUUUUGAAACAUUUCAACACAUUAGGGUUUAGAAUUUAAAUAUACAUCAAAAUUAAACUAUUUAAUCAAAAUUUAAAUUCCAAAACUUGAGGGCAAGUUUUGAAACCCUUUUCAAAACAUUAGGGUUUCAACUAUUUAAAUUUCAAAACAAAACUUUUAAGUUCAAAUUUAAACUAUAAAACCUAAAGGGGGAAAAUUGAAACUUUUCAUACAAGAUAAUUCAAAUCUAAAUUACAAAUAUUCAAAUUUUAUCUAAUAAAACAAAAGGUUAUCUAAAUUUUGACAAUUAUCUUCUAUUUAGGUAAGGAUAAUCACCAAAUAUUGAUAAAAUUCGGUUUUUAUAACAAAAACAUGUUUAUGGUAAGUAUCCAAAGCCGAAACAGGAAGAAAAUCGUGAAAAUUAGCUGUCAGAUGUUUUGACUCGUCGAGUCUGGACUUGGACUCGUCGAGUACACCUGACUCGGCGAGUGCACCAAGUGACUCGGCGAGNNNNNNNNNNNNNNNNNNNNNNNNNNNNNNNNNNNNNNNNNNNNNNNNGCAUCAAUACAAUAGAAACCAAUCUAGGCUCUGAUACCACUGAUGGGUUUUAGCCAUAAGAACAUCCUAUGUGCUCAUACAAACCCUAAUGCUUGGAUCUAGGUUUCUCUAUUGUACAUGCAAGUUAUCCAAGACUAUAAACCCUAGGUCUAGCAUAUGAUAAUCAAUAUAACAUAUAAAUAAGAGUUUAGAUCAUACCUUGAUUGUUAUAUAGCAAUAACAAUCACAAUCCUUUCUUUUAAUGACUUUAGAAAGCUUAGAGUCACAAAUCUCACUCCUCUAAUUGUUCACAAACACCAAGAGCAAGAGGAUGAAGAGGAGAAGAGAAGGAGGCUGCCCAAAACGUGUGGAAACCCUAGAAGAAGUCUUGUUUACGUUUUUGGGGCAUAAGGGAUCCUUAAAUAGUAAGGCUAUUAGGGUUAUCUAACAAGGAAACCCUAAUUUGGAUGCUUAAGCCCUAAGCAACCCAUGGGCUCCUCCCUUAAAGGACUUGGACGAUUUCUAAUGGGUUUCCCCACAGAAUUCGUCCACUCCUUUAAUAUGGAGUCCAUUAGCUCAAUAUUCAACUAUCAUCCAAUUGACAGUUCAAGUCCCUUAAGUUUAAUUAGUGUCUUUUAGUCACAAACUUAAUUCUUAUUAAUUCUUGACUAAUAUUAAUUAAACAAUUAGUAUUUCUCCUUUAAUAUAUUAUUCCCAUAACAUAUUAAUAAAUCAUAUUUAAUCCUUUCUCUCCAUAAUUCAUCCUAUCAAGUUGCUUUGGUGAAGGAAACCCAAAAGGACCAUGCACCAUCGGGUCAAGUACAUACCAAAAUAGUUAUGGACUUAGAGACUAAUCCAACAAAAACUCCCAAGAUCAUGAAAUCUAACCAAAAUAGAUGAAAAAGAUGCAAGUUAAUACCUUCUACAGCAGUUUCAUGCGAAGGUGUUAACUUGCAUCCUUUUCAUCUAUUUUGGUUAGAUUUCAUGAUGUUGGGAGUUUCUGCCUUCUCUCCAAGGCUGUUUCUGACGUCAAUUGGUUAUGGCACCGAAGGCUCGCUCAUCUAAAUUUUUGGUACAUGAAUGAUCUUGUAUCUGGUGAAAUGGUUAGAGGUUUACCUCUACUCAAAUUCGAAAAUGAUCAUUUGUGUGCUGCUUAUGAGUGCGGUAAACAAUCAAAGAAGGGUCAUCCUGUCAUCAUCGAAAAAUCCAUUUCGGAACCUCUGGAGCUUCUACACAUUGAUCUUUCUGGAACUUCCACUAUAGAAAGUCUUCAUCAUAAGAAAUACAUUCUUGUGAUUGUUGAUGAUUUUACACGGUUCACUUGGUUCUUCUUUCUUCGGCUGAAAUCCGAAACAGCCUCAGAGCUCAUCAAUUUUAUCAACGGAAUAGAAGUUCUCAUCAAACUCCCAGUUAGGAUAAUCUAAAGUGACAAUGGCUCGGAAUUCACUAAUUCCACCAUUGAAAAGUUCCUCACCGAAAAAGGAAUUGACCACAACUUCUCAGCUCCUUAUACCCCACAACAAAAUGGUGUAGUCGAACGACAAAAUAGAACUCUCGUUGAAGUUGUUCGAUCCAUGUUGAAUUUCACAAAUCUACCACUCUACCUUUGGGCUGAAGCAGUAUCUACUGCUUGCUUCACUCAAAAUCAGAGUAUCAUCAAUCGACACCUCAACAUGACAGCAUAUGAAGGAAUGAAUGGUCGGAAGCCAACAAUCUCGUUUGUACAUGUCUUCGGAUGCAGGUGCUUCAUCAAGAACAACCGAUAUCAGCUUACCAAGUUUCAACCUAAAGCUGAUGAAGCCAUCUUCCUUGGGUAGUCCUCAAAAUCGAAAGCUUACAAAGUUUUUAACUGGAGAACUCGUGUUCUGGAAGAAAGCUUUGAUGUUACUUUCGAUGACAACUUCGUCCGGAAUUCUGGCCCUACUAACAUCACCACUCACAUUAUGGAGUCCGAUGCUCCUCCUCCAGGAUGUCCGAACCCUCAAACUUGUUAGGUUUUGAGCAUUCUAACACUCCUAAGUUUACAUGCAACCCUAAAUACCUUGGAUCUAUGUUUUCUCUAUAAUACAUGCAAAUAUGAACUUUCCAAGUUAUUCAUCCUAACUAGCAUAAUAACAUUGAUUCAUAUGAAUAUAUCAAGUUAGAAUUACAUACCUCUUUGAUGUAUAAUGUCUUCAUGAAGCUUGAGUGCCUAGUGCCCCAAGUGUAACACCUCAAAUGGUUCACACAACACCAAAUACACUUGGAAUAUAUUAUAGAGAAAUCCACACUUCAUGAAAAUCGGCUAGCCCUUUCUCUCACAUAUAGUGUCCGAUUUUGUCAACAAUAAGAUGCUUAUAUAGUUAGUGACAAUUAGGGUGAACCCUAAUUGUAAUGGCUUUCCAUUUCCUUGGAUCCAUGGGUUCAAAUAUACCAUGGAGCAUCUUAUGGGUUUUAGCCCAACUAGAGAAUCCAUGAAGCAUUAGCCCACUAUACAAGUAUGGAUGAUUUACACAAUGAAUCCAUAUAUUUAGUUAGUCUUAUUUUGAUCACUUAAUUAAUCCUAGAUUAAUUCUUGAUCAAUACUAAUUAAAUAAUCUUAUUAAUAUAUUAGAACUUAUAAUAUAUUAACAAACCUUAAGUGUUAUUUCUCUCAUUAUAGUCUAUCCAAAUGCAUGAUGCCAUGCAACCCAAAUGGACCAUGCUAGGUCGGGUCAAGUCUUACCAAUUAUAGUUAUGGACUUAGACAUUAAUCCAACAGUCUCCCACUUGGAUAAGUCUAAAACUAUUAUUGCAAGUAUGACUUCAAGAACCGACUGGCAAUCGUAGCUCUCAAAAGCUUAUGUCGAACUCUGACCUUGCCGAUGAUCUCUGACCUUUGUGAAUGACUUGUCCAUUAGAUAAGGGAUCAUAUAUUCCUUCAUUCUAGUUAUCAUAUGGACUGAGACAUGGAUUAUAAUCAUUCUCUCUGUCCAUUUUUUGUUUCCCGAUUUCCGAUUUAUGACGACUGACUAAUUGAACAAAUCAAAUCAGUCCAGGCCCGGCCGAGCACUUACAUUUGUCAUCACCAAAUCAUCGAGGGGCCCACAGAUAUCGCUUUUAUCCCGAAGGUAAAAGGAAUGGAUAAACUUCGACUCAUAUGGCUUGUUCUACUACUUGUUGAAUCAUACACAAAGGCACGUUUUAUAGCACCGAGUUACCAAAUGCGUUUUCGUGCAAUCAAUGUACUAUCAACUCAUAGUAACAACUCAUAUCUCUAGGUUUGAAGAAUAUAAGAUAUUAUCGUCUCAUGAUCACUCGUGAUAAAAUCCAUGAAGUGAUUCCAAUGAGCGCGGGUUGAAUCCAAUACUCAGAACUUAUGAGCACUCAUGAGUGUUGUAGCCCUUUGUCCAACACCUUAGACCUCUACAAGCCAACCCAUGACAGUCUUAAUUCAUAUCUACUUCCAACAUAUGACCGACUGUGGAUGGUUUGAAUAACUUAGUCAUUCCGGAAGAAUAACCUAGUUUAUUCGGGAAGUCAAAACAUGCAAAAUGAAACACAAUAAUAAUUGAAUCCAAUAUGGUAUCAACCCUUUGAACAUAAAUAAAACACCUUUUAUUUAUCACCAUAUGAUUACACAUUAUUCAUUGUAUACUGUUUCAGCUAUCAACUUUAUUCUUGAAUUUAAAACAAUAGUUGUCCCAUGCUCCAAGCAUGUACACUAUGUUUUCUUAAACACUAGUCAUGCCACACACCAAGUAUGCAUACUAUGUUUGUCUAUGAUCUUUACUUUGUGAACUAGAUCCAUUGAACAUAACUUCAAUGAUUCUCUUUUCACACUCCCAAAUCCUUACCGCAAAUGCAAGAAUUCCAAAUUCAUGCCAUUUACUGAAAUCUGUUAGAUUCUAAACUUAUAUGCAUUGAUCCUCUUGUAAUGAUUAUGCACAAAGUCAUAAAGACUUGACAAAAAAUAUUAAAGAGCAUUCCAAAGGAGAUCAAAUCCACGAAAACAUCCUUCUUGCAUUAAAUUUUCCUAAUCUUAC